GAGAGAUUCAAAUUUUAAAAAAACUUUCUCUAAUCUAAUGACUUUGCAUAUGUAGUUCCAUUUUGUCAUGGUAUUAUCACUAUGUUACUCAAACUCUUCAAAAAGGUCAACGGAUCAUACGUGUCAAAUUCUCAAAAUAGUGUAAUUUUUUGUCACAGUGUUUACGGUGAUUAUCUUUGGUUAGAUGACAAUUGUAGUAUAAGAUAUUGUCGUGAUUAGGUUGUUGGGCUAGCACUUUCAGGAGCUCAUUCGGCCUAUGUCUACUAAGAAAUGCUUAUUUGUAUUUAUACUACACCUCUGCACCCUGCGGAUCAUACUAAGAUCUUGUCAUUAAUAUGGAUCAUGUGCAAAAUAACUUUUAGGGUUCGGAGACUGGGUUAGCUCCCAACACUCUGAGUUGUCGAUUUCCCCUAUUUUGUCUUGGACUGAACAUCUUGUAUUCAGACACUAUUAGUAUGUAUUUUCUAUUUGUAAAUGUCUCGUACUCCUGUUCUAAUUAACAUCAUGUGGGUUUGUUUUGUUCUG